UGGCGGCCUGCGCUCCUCGGGUUCUGGCUCCGGCUCUGGCUGCGGCUGCAGCAGUGGCAGUGGCGGCGUCUCCAUGGGGCCGGGGCGCGGUGGACAGGCGCUCUGAGGUUCAUUUGUUAAGAAGAGUCCUUGCUAAAGCUUCAGAGUGAACUUCAACUACUUGGAGCUUGUUGCAUUCCAGAGGCACAUCCAGAUCCACAACCAUGAGCCACUUUAAUAAGGAAGAUGUUGACUGCCAUAUCCUUGAUGAAGGCUUUACCGCCAAGGACAUCCUGGACCAGAAAAAGUGUCUUCUUCUGAUGAUAAGGAUGCCUUUUAAUUUGCAGACCUGGGAGACAUUCUAAAGAAGCCUCUCCAAUGGUUGAAAGCUCUUCCCCGAGUCACUCCCUUUUAUGCAGUCAAAUGUAAUGACAGCAGAGCCAUAGUGAGCACCCUGGCUGCCAUCGGCACAGGCUUUGACUAUGCCAGCAAGACUGAAAUACAGUUGGUGCAGAGCCUAGGGGUGCCUUCCAAAAGGAUCAUCUAUGCAAACCCUUGUAAGCAAGUGUCUCAGAUCAAGUACGCGGCCAGUAGCGAAGUCCAGAUGAUGACUUUUGACAGUGAGGUGGAGCUGCUGAAAGUGGCCAGAGCGCACCCGAAGGCCAAGCUGGUUUUGCGGAUCGCCACUGAUGAUUCAAAAGCAGUCUGUCGCCUCAGUGUGAAAUUUGGUGCCACGCUCAAAACCAGUAGACUUCUUUUGGAAUGAGCAAAAGAGCUAAAUAUUGAUGUCAUCGGUGUCAGUUUCCAAGUGGGGAGCGGCUGCACCGACGCGGAGACCCACUGUGUCUUCGACAUGGGGACUGAGGCGGGCUUUGACAUGUACCUGCUGGAUAUUGGUGGUGGCUUCCCCGGAUCUGAGGACGUGAAGCUGAAGUUUGAAGAGAUCACCAGUGUGAUUAACCCAGCCCUGGACAAGUACUUCCCAUCAGACUCUGGAGUGCAUAUCAUAGUGGAGCCAGGCAGAUACUAUGUUGCUUCUGCCUUCACACUUGCAGUUAAUAUCAUUGCCAAAAAAAAAAAUGGUCUGGAAGGAGCAGAGCGGCUCUGAUGAUGAGGAUGAGCUAAAUGAGCAGACAUUCAUGUACUAGUAAAAGACGGCAUAUACCGAUCCUUCAACUGCAUCCCUUAUGAUCAUGCACACGUAAAGCCCCUGCUGCAGAAGAGACCCAAGCCCGAUGAGAAGUACUACUCCUCCAGCAUUUGGGGGCCUAUGUGUGACGGCCUGGAUCGCAUCAUUGAGCACUGCAGCCUGCCCAAAAUGCACGUGGGUGAUUGGAUGCUCUUUGAGAACAUGUGUGCCUACACCGUUGCUGCUGCUUCUACCUUCAAUGGCUUCCAGAGGCCGACUAUCCACUACGUAAUGUCACGGCCCAUGUGGCAACUCAUGCAGAAAGUCCAGAAGCACGGCUUCCAGUCCAGGGCGGAGGAGCAGGACGUCAGCGCACUGCCCCUGUCCUGCUCCCAGGAGAGCGUCCUGGAGCGGCGCCCCAUGGCCUGAGCUUCCGCCAGUAUCAAUGUGUAGAAACUUCCUGUAGCUGUCAAGUGCAAGUGUAGCUUGAAUUAAGGGAUUUGGGGGGAACCACUUAACUUAAUUACUGCUAGUUUUGAACAUCUUUGUAAGAAUGGAGCUGGUACCGAUGCAGCAAUAACAGAAGACUAGAAGAUGGGGUCACACUUUUCUGUGUUCCUAUGGAAACUUUGCAUAUUUGUUUUCUAUGGAUUUUUAUUCACUUUUCCAACUUGCUAUAAAGAGUGCCCCUCAGCUGCCGAGCAAGCAUUUGUAGCUUGUACAAUGGCAGCAAGGGCCAGAAGCUUCAUGUUGGGACCUGUUUUGAAAUAAAGUAUCUUGGAAUAAUGAAAAAAA